GUUGUUCGGAAUUACUGGGUGUAAAGGGUUCGUAGGCGGUGUGGCAAGUCGGGAGUGAAAUCUCUGGGCUCAACCCAGAGUCUGCUUCCGAAACUGCUGUGCUUGAGUGUGGGAGAGGCGCGUGGAAUUGCAGGUGUAGCGGUGAAAUGCGUAGAUAUCUGCAGGAACACCCGUGGCGAAAGCGGCGCGCUGGACCACUACUGACGCUGAGGAACGAAAGCUAGGGGAGCAAACAGG
rnacentral:rRNA from 1 species